rnacentral:lncRNA from 1 species
UUCUCCCUUGGAUGCAAGAAAAUUUCCCUGAGUUAAAUUUAGACCAGUCCACCUUCACUGAAAUGAGUUGGAUUGAGUCCGCUCUAUACGUUGCUAACCUCCCGAUAAACGAAUCACAAGUUCUGCUUCAGCGGACUCAACAAUCGAGGGUAUUCUUCAAAAACAAAUCAGAUUUUGUUACUGAGCCUAUUUCAGAAGUUGCCUUAGAAGGUUUAUGGAAAGCAAUGCUUGAAUUGGAUUCAUUACAGUUGAUGCUGACACCUUACGGUGGAAGAAUGAGUGAGAUUUAUGAUUGGGAAAUUCCUUUCCCACAUAGAAAAGGAAAUUUGUUUGAGAUCCAGUAUGUCGACAAUUGGGUUGAUGACAAAGAAACUGAGGAACAUAUUAGAGGGGUGAGAAGUGUGUAUGAGUACAUGACACCAUAUGUUUCAAAGUCCCCAAGAGCUGCCUAUUUGAAUUAUAGGGAUCUUGACUUGGGGAGGAACAAGGAUGCUAAUACAAGCUAUGCAGAAGCAAGCGCUUGGGGAUUGAAGUAUUUCAAGAAUAACUUUAGGAGACUUGUUCAAAUAAAGACUUCAGUCGAUCCUGAUAAUUUCUUUAGAGAUGAACAAAGCAUCCCGGUGUUACAGUCUGCGAAGAAAUAGAAUGUCAACUUGAUGGACUUAUAUGCAACAGAAUAAAUUAUAAAUCCUCAGUUAGUCAUUGUAUUAUACCCGAAUAAUAAGUUGCAUUUUACAAAUUAAUAAUAUGAUAUUACUUGUUAUAACUGUUGCAUGUUUGUUGUAGUUUAUGUUGGGAAAAACUUAAGAGUACACAACUCUAACACAAGUGUUGGAGGGACAACACAAGAAAACAAAUUAUUUGUAUUACACACACAAAAUAUUACAACAUACAAACUCUCAAGGACACUCUUUAGAAACUAUGACACUCACUCUUUCUAGAGACACACUCUAGACCACUCACACUCCUACAAGACUACUCUUGCUUCUCACUCUCACUUGGUUGCCUACUUGCUUGAUUGGUUGAUUGUUUGGUUCAACAUCACACCCAUAUUUAUAGGUGAAGGUUUGGCAUUCUACUAGUUUCUAGUUAUUUCUACAAACUAGAACUAGUUUCUAGUUUCUAGUAUAUUCUACAAAUCUCUAGCUUAGAUAAUUUUAGACUAGCCACCCUACUUUGCAUGCUAGAAUCUUCUAGAACAAUUCCAUGCAUGUUUGAACUAGAACAACCUAGUUCCCUUAUACCGACUAAUCUUAAUGGGCUGGUGUUGAUCAGUAACACUCCCCUUCAACACCAGCUCGUUCUUUUCUUCUCGCUGAGUUGACAACGCUUUAUCUUGAACGCUCAUUUGCAUAAUGUGGGUUUCACAUCUCUUGGACUUGCCACUAGAUCCCAAGUUUGAUAUUUCUUUAACGUAGAGACCUCUUCUCCUAGCUUUGUGCCACUCAAAAUUUUGUGAUGCUUCUUUACGCAUCUUAGCUUCAACUGUUUCUUCUACUAUGGCUGUGUUGGCAUAUUUGGGAUUUGGCUUCGGUAUUCCUGUUGACCUUCUUAGUUGUGAUCGUGGAGUUGAUACUUUCACUUCACUAGGUCUUUCUUCUCCUGAUUGUUGAUACACACCAGUUUUCCAAGGACUCUUAGGUACUUCUUGCUUGACAUCGUCACCAUCUAGCAAUUCCUCGAUCUCAUCUGGACUCGAUUGGACUUGGGCAACUUGGUCUCCUAUUUUCUCCUGCAACAUAUCUUCAAUAUCUCUCGAGUCAGGCAACACUUCAUUUUCUGAGCACCACCAAGAAGAUGCUUCAGCGUCCCAUUCUUCUUCUAUAGUUAGAUAUGCUACGGCGUCACAAUCAUCUUCACUUUUCUCCUUUGAGCUGGCGACAUUAUUCUCUGCGGGCUUUUUUAACCAACAAUCAUUCGCCAUAUAGCCAUUCUUUCCACAAUUGUAACAUUUUUCCUCAAACCUUUUAUUAUUUUGGGACUAACCACGGUUGCCGUGAUAAUUCGAAACUCCCCUUGGCCGAGAACUCCCUCAUCCUUGAUGACUUUUCGCCUUGUCACCAUUUGUUUUAGAUCCACCAUCAGCACGCUGCUUAAAGAUGCCUUUAGGUGUAGAGUGCUUCCUCUUCAUCUUUUAAUGAGACCACUCCCAUUUGCUUUGCCAAAGCUUCUUGAUUGGCAAGCAAAUUCUCAAACUCAACAAGUGAUGGUUGGGUCGGCCAUUCUUGUACAGCGGCAAUGAAGCCUUAAUAUUCGGGUCUCAAUCCAUGGAUAAUUAUUCUUUUUAUCCUGGAUUAUACAGUGGCAGCACUAGGAUCUAAUUCAGAGAUUUCACGGCAAAUAAACUUUACCUUGUGGAAAUAUUCUGCAAUCGUCAUGUCUUUUUGGGCCACCGAUAACAACUCAUUCUCGAGAAGUUGUAGUCUUGUAUCAAUCAUCUUUGAAAAGAGUGUGGCGAAGGUAUCCCACGCUUCUUUUGGUGUCUUGGCCUUCCGUAUGUGCUCCAACAUGUCGUCUUCAACUGUGGUUUUUAAGGCAAACAUAGUUUUACUUGCCUUGAUCUUCCACUUCCGCAAAGUGCUGCUGGUGUCUUCAUCCAGUUGCGUAACUUCAUUAUUGCCGAUGACAGCCCAAAAAUCUUGGCCUUGUAGGUAAGACUCCAUACAUGUUGCCCAUGUGUUGUAAUUUUUGUUGUUCAACUUCUUGAUUCCUCCAACAACUUGAAGAUUUCUCAUCGUGUCAGCAAAACUUCGAUAAGCCGAACAAGAUUAAUCAACAAUCUUGCGAAGUACUAAACUUCUCACGAUUCUCGAAAGUUUCACUAGAGACGGUCCCUGAUCGUUCCGCUCUGAUACCAAUUGUUGGGAAAAACUUAGAGUACAUAACUCUAACACAAGUGUUGGAGACACAACACAAGUAAACAAAUCAUUUGUAUUACACACACAAAAUAUUACAACACACAAACUCUCAAGGACAUUCUUUAUAAGUUAUGACACUCACUCUUUCUAGAGACACACUCUAGACCACUCACACUCCUACAAGACUACUCUUGCUACUUGCUUGAUUGGUUGAUUGUUUGGUUCAAAAUCACGCCCAUAUUUAUAGGUAAGGGCAUGACAUUCUACUAGUUUAUAGUUCUUUCUACAAACUAGAACUAGUAUCUAGUUUUUAGUAUAUUCUACAAAUCUCUAGCUUAGAUAAUUCUAGACCAGCCACCCUACUUUGCAUGCUAGAAUUUUCUAGAACAAUUCCAUGCAUGUUUGAACUAGAACAAUCUAGUUCCCUUAUACCGACUAAUCUUAAUGGGCUGGUGUUGAUCAGUAACAGUUUAUGGCUUUAGAAAGAAUCAAAUUAGUUGGCCAAGUAGGAUGAAAGUAAGGUUUUAAUUAGCAAUGGGAAUGAAGGAUGCUUGUUUUACUGAAACUGAUGAAAUAAUAAUUAAGAGAAAUAUUAGACAUUUCUUCAUCAAUUCCUGCAAUGUACUUAUCGUUACAUGCAUAUAAACAUGGAUGUCGUAACCCGUCUCUAAUUUUUCGAGUAAAAUAGUUCAUAUUAACAUGGAAAACGCCCAUAAAAGGAUAAAUUUCAUUUUUGUUGAACCUUCGAGCAUGAGACACGUGCUCAACAUCUUAUUUUAUUUGAAAAGUACUUGUUGAUAGGAACGUAUGAGUGCAAAUGGAUUGAAAUUUGGAAUUCAAAGGAGAAAUUUCUAAACAAUAGGCAAUUUGGUAAUUUUAGAAGGAAUUUUCUGGAAGCCAACAACUUCCUUUUCUUCCUCCGUGCGUGCAGUUAGGUUGGGUUUGGGGGAGGGGGGAAGCCGCCGUCGACCAAGCCUUCACCUCCUGUUAGACGAAGUCAACCAACGUCUCUUGAAGACUUAUGCUGCGCCUAGGACUCUUAUCUCCUUGUUUAUAGGACUUCUUUUUUAAUUAUCCUUCUAACUAAAACUGGUUGUAAUCUUUAUAGAUUUCAGAUUGUAUCUUUUGAUUUUUGAACUUCCAUGUAAAUAGGGUUAGUUUAAACCCUGAUUGUAAUAUGUUAGUAAUUAUAAAUACAUGCAUCCCACUCAUUAAAAGGUAUGCAAUUGAAGUAAAAACUUUGUGUUCUUAAGUUAUACAUGGUAUUGAUCUUUACUGUCUAACGACAACGAUCCUUUUUUUUUCCUCGCAUCCAAUGGCUGAAAUCAACAAUGCUUCUUCUCAAACAUCCAUUCCCGUUUCCCCAAACAAUCCCACCCAUCCAUUUUCCUCCAUGACUACCGUGGUAAACAUUAAGCCAGAUAGGACCAACUACCCACUAUGGUUGGCUCAAAUCCUCCCUAUUCUCAAGAGUCGAUAUUUAAUGGGGUAUGUUGAUGGCACUUUGGUGUGUCCCCCUAAGCACAUGACUGGUGUGACAACUGUUAGUCCUGCCUAUACCUCAUGGAUGCAGUAGGAUCAAAUGAUCCUCAGUUGGAUCAAUGGCUUACUUACUGCGUCCUUCUUGUUUGUUGUGGCCGGUAAGCGAAGUGCUAGAGCAACCUAGGAGGCUCUAGAACAGCGAUAUGCCUCUUCUUGCCAGAAUAGGAUUUUGUUUUUUAGGAAUGAAUUGCUACAGACAAAGAAGGGUAAUUUCUCUAUAGCGGGUUACUUGGAUCGCAUGAAUGCAACUGCUGACGACCUUGCCGUCGCUGGGCAACCUGUGAGUGACGAUGAAUUAGUACAGAUUGUGUUGAACAAUCUUGGACCAACCUUCAAGAUGAUAGUUAGUGUUGCUCAAGCUCGUGAUACACCUAUCACGUAUCUGACUCUUGAGGCGCUAUUGUUGACCAAGGAAAGAAGAAUGUUGGAGCAUGCUACUCAUGUGAUGGAACAACCUGUAGUCAAUGCCUUUGUUGUUGUAAGAGGUCGAGGUGCAGGUCGAGUUAGUGGUGUUGGGCGCAAUGCAUCUCCUUCAAAUCGUGGUGGUACAUCCACUCACCGAGGUUACAACUUUCGUAAUAACAACAACAAUCCGCGUUAUGCCGCUCGAAAUGGGGAACGAUGUGCGUCCACUGGUGAGCGUAUUAUCUGCCAUAUAUGUGGCAAACCUGGUCAUCCAGCUUUGGAUUGCUUUCAGCGAAUGAACGCUACCUUUGAAAGCCGCAUUCCUACCAAAAGACUCUUUACAACGGCGUCGGCUCCUAUCACUCUCAAUAAACAACAAAAUGGCAAUUGGUUACUAGACACAUGAGCUAAUGUGCAUAUCACUUAGGAUCUGCAAAACCUGGUAAAACCCGAAGGAAUAUAAUGGUAAUGAUGGUGUUGGUGAUGUAGGUAAUGAUUCUGGUAUUUUGAUUUCACAUUAUGGUUCUAAUAAACUUCAUACUGAUGCUUGCUCAUUUAAGUUACAAGACAUUCUACACUGCCCUAAAGCCUCAACUAGUAUCAUUUCUGCCCAUAAAUUCACAUUAGACGAUGACUGCUAUUUAUUAAUCUUUCCACACUUCUUUCUUGUCAAGGACCUCAAGACGCGGAGGACGCUUUUCCGAGAGAGAUCUGAGAACGGCUUAUAGCCGUUUUCAGGUGGUGGUGGACAACUUCCAAAUCCAUUUACAGCCUUCAUAGGUGUUCAAGUGUCUGUUAAAAAAUGGCAUGCACGUAUGGGGCAUCCUACCAAGUCUACAAUAAAGUUUUUAAUUGGAAAUAAAUUGGUUCCAGUUCAUGGUACCUCCAAUGUAACCUUUUGUCAGUCCUGUCCCUUAGGAAAUAGUACCAAGUUGCCUUUCAAAGUGUCCGAGUCUAUUUCCAAUUGUCAUUUGCAGCUUCUACAUUCUGAUGUUUAGUGUUCUCCAAUUAUUUCCAAUGAAGGUUUUCGUUAUUAUGUGUUGUUUGUUGAUGAUUACUUAAGAUAUUCCUGGAUUUUUCCCAUGAAAAAUACAUCUCAAGUCUUUGAAAUAUUUAUGCAGUUUAAGGCCAAAGUUGAAAAUAUAUUCAAUUUAAAAAUUUAAGCCCUUCAAUGUGAUGAAGAUGGUGAAUACAAAAGCAUUGCCUUUCAAAAAAAAAAAAAAUUAGCACUUCAUGGAAUUUCUCAAAGAUUUUCGUGUCCUAAACAUCCAGAACAAAAUGGAGUCACACAGCGUAAACAUUGACACAUUGUUGAAACCGGUAUUGUGAUGCUUUCUCAGUCACACAUGCCUACUAAGUUUUGGUUUGAUGCUUGCAACACAACAACAUAUCUCAUCAAUAGGUUGCCAACCCGUGUGUUGUUUAACUUGUCACCUUAUGAGAAGUUAUUUCAUAAACCACCAAACUAUGAUACCGUAAAAGUUUUUGGUUGUCAAUGUUUUCCGUGGUUAAUGCCAUACACAGCAAAUAAACUUCAACAAAAAUCAAAAUCAUGUGUGUUCUUAGAUUACUCUUUGAAUCAUCAAGGCUACAAAUGUAUGGAUUUGUCUACGAAAUGAGUUUAUUUGUCUCGCCAUGUUCUAUUCAAUGAGGACUUUUAUCCUUUUCAAGGACUCACAUCUUUCUCUGAGAGCGUUCAAACACAAGGUAAUCCUUCUUCGCCAGCUCUCUCAUUUAAUUUCCCUGAAAACCCACCUCCUUCUUUGACCGAGUUACCUACUCCUAUACCAACACUUAAUCACACUCCACCACAAAUUUCAUCCACACAUGCAAACCCAUGCCAAACUGUCUCCCACCCUGCUCCUACUUCUUCACCUAUUCAAACAGACCAACCUGAUGUGACUUCACAACCUAGACCCUCUUCACCUAUUCAAACUGACAACCCCGCUGUGACUUCACCGCCUAGGAUGCUCUCGGAUGGAAACAAGGAGGAAGAAAAAAGAAACUGAGAGGUUAUAAUUUUGUGUUCUACGGAUGUGGAAUGAGUUGUUCUAAGGGGUGAGGCGGAACGAAAAUUCACCCAAAAUUCGUCCCGUGGAACAGCAUGUUCCACUCGUUUUAGGUGCACCAAACAUGGGACGGAACGCCUCGUUCCACUCCGUUCCAUCCCGUCCCACGUACCAAACGGUACCUCAAGUAUGCCAGUUUAUUCAUGCACCUAAACUUGCUCACUGGAAGGCUGCUGUGAAAUGUAUUCUCUGUUACUUGAAAGCCAUGCAUAAUAAUGGACUUCUCUACAAACCUGGAAAUACUAGGUUGUCUGCGUUUUCUGAUGCUGAUUAUGCUGGUAAUCUAGAUACCAGACAUUCCACGGGUGGCUAUUGUAUUUAUUUGGGUCCCAAUCUUGUCUCAUGGAGUUAAGAAACAGAAGAUGGUGUCCCGGUCUAGUGCAGAGGCUGAGUACAGACAGUUGGCCUAUUCUGCAGCUAAGUUAUCAUGGCUUCGAUCUCUCUUUAAGGAUCUACAUUUGCAUCUUUGUCAACCAACAAUUUGGUGUGAUAAUGUCUCUUCAAUUGCACUUGCAUCCAAUCUUGUCUUCCAUUCCCCCACAAAACAUCUCGAGGUUGAUCAUCAUUACGUGCAGGAAAAGGUUGUUUGUGCUGAAUUAUUAGUUAAUUACAUUUGUUCUCGAGAUUAGCUAGCUGGUUUGUUUACCAAAGGACUGUCAUCAUCGCGUUUCCAGUUGCUGGUAUCCAAGCUUCAUGUUGUUCCACCCCCAGUCAGCUUGCGGUGGGCUGUUAGAUGAAGUCAACCGUUGAUGGUAGCCAACGUCUCUUGAAGACUUGUGCUGCGCCUAGGAGUCUUAUCUCCUUGUUUAUAGGACUUCUUUUUUAAUUAUCCUUCUAACUAGAACUGGUUAUAAUCCUUAUAGAUUUCAGACAGUAUCUUUUGAAUUUUGAACUUCCAUGUAAAUAGGAUUAGUUCAAACCCUGAUUGUAAUCUGUUAGUAAUUAUAAAUACAUGCAUCCCACUCAUUGAAUGGUAUGCAAUUGAAGUAAAAACUUUGUGUUCUUAAGUUUUACACCUCCAUCAUCACCUCCAUCAAGUAUUUGAAGAAAGUGGGUUUUCUUAAGAGAAGAGUAAACGUGAUCUUGGUUUCGAUAUAUUAUUGUUUAAGCACAUGUCUAUUCCGGCAUAAUUGACCUAAGAAAUGAAAAUGAGAAUUGAAUGAGAAAUUUUGAAAGUCAUUGCAAACACAAGAUUUCUAUUUUGAGUUUAACAAAAUGGUGUAUAUAAUUGGUCUGAUCUCUUCGGAUGGUACGUAGGUAAUCCAACUAGAAAGUUAGAUGCAGUCAUAAGGUUAAAUAGAAUUAAAUGGUGUAUCAUGUCUCCGAGUUUGGGAUGUGAUAUUUUUAUGAUCAGCUCUUAGUACAGACUUUACCAGAUUUGUUACUCCAUUGAUUAAAAUCCUAUUCAUUUUUUAAUUUUUUAUCAAGGUCAUUUGGUAUUAAUAACAUCAUUAAUUAUUUGAAUAAUAAAAUAUUUUUAUUUUUAAAUAUAUUCUUUUAGUGUUAAAAAUGUUACAAUUAGUAUAUUUAUAUUUAUGGCUAAAUUUUUUAUCAUAUAUUUUACUUUUAGUUUGUACAUAUUUUUAAUUUGCAUAUAUUUUUUAAUUUGUACCAAUUUUUUUUUCAUUUUUAAUUUGUACCCAUAUAUUAGUUUCUUUUUGUGCCCAUAUUUUUUAAAGUUUUAUUUGUGUUUGUACCCAUGUGUAUACCCAUAUUUCUUAGCAUUUGUAUUGUGGUGAUACUAAGUUGAUCUUGCUUCCUCAUUUGGCUCAUAAUUUGUUUGAUUUUCAUUAUUGCGUGAAAUGGAGUAAACGGAACUAAAGAUAAACAAGAAGUGUCACUUGAAUAAGAAGUGUCACUCAAAACAACUCUAGUUUCAGUAACAAUGCCUCGGAUUCUAUAUAAUUUUGUACCUGCCGUGCCGAGAUAGCUCACAUUAUAUGCCUUCUGGUAAUGCCUCGUGCAUAUAGCAUGUUUGGUUUUCUAGCGUGUAGCUAGACAGAAAUAGAAAUGGCAGAAUCUUCUUUAGAUGAGCAACUCCAUUUCUACAAAUUGCCCACUUAUGGAGUGAUUAAAUCCUCCGAUUUCUUCAAAAUUUGCUUCAGCCCAUGCCCAUUGCCCCACCGAUUGGGUGGGCUCAUCUCUCACAAACCAAGUAGUUGGGUAAGAAUGGCAUGAGGCCUUGUUUGAGGUUAUCUGAUGUCAACCACCCACGUUAUAAAUUUUUUUGCGCCAGGUGUGUAGGUGCGAGUUGUUUGACAAAAUCCAGGUGGCGGGGCCUGCACUGCACCUGUCUACGAAUCUGGGCUGUUGGAUUUCCCAAAUCCACCGGUCCUUUUUAAUCCUGAUUGUAAAAAUUCAAAAAAAAAAAUUCCUAAAACACUUUGUUGUCCACGUGGCACAACCGUGGCAUGAUUGGGACGGAAUUGUAAUUUCGAAUAAUAACACUUGGCUUGAAGAGAUUAGUUAAAAGUCCUGAUCAAAAUUAAACAUAAUGUUAUUUUUUUAAUAUAAAAAAACUAUAGUUAAUUGCCCAUCCAAUUUAGUUACGUGGUGGAGAUGGACUAAGAAUUGAUGCAGUUUGUGUUAUCCCCUGUUUGGUUGCUCAGAAAAUGUAAGAAUUGAUGCAGUUUUGGAUUCUUAAUUUCUUAUGGAUAAUCCAAUAGAAUUAAUACUGAAAAUUUACCAAUGGAUAACACUUCAAAGUUGAUUGUAUAAUAUAGUUGUCCUUACUUUAUAAUAAUUUCGAGUUUUCGACAUAUCUGUGUGUGUGUGGAAUGUAACAUAUCGGAUUUAGGUUAUACUGUGCAUAAUUUUAUUGUCUGUUGUUAUCUGCGCUAUACCAUUCCUAUGCAGGCUCUAAAAGCACUUUCCAUAAUUUAAGCAGUCUGUUUUGGGUUCUUUUUUAUUAGGUCAUUAGCUAUUGAUUAAUGGAGAAACGAGGACCAUGGCACUGAUUUUGGGUUCUUUUUCUAAUCUUCUGAUUUUGGGGUUUUGAAGGGAGUGCUGAUGUACCGAUCUGAGAACCAUCUUCUUUUUCUUCUUCCGCUUUUCCCUGUGCGUUCCAGUUUGACUGUCUGUGAUUAAAAUGGUCAGUUAAUUUAAAUUCAGCAAUUGACUCUCAAACUCUGAAUCUGAUUUCGUCUCCUUCUGCUGAUCUCCUCUAUUCCCCUCUUCUCUUUCUCUUCCGUAAAUUUAAUCAACUAAUUCGAUUAUUCAUUUUUUUCUGAUAGAACAUUUGUGGCUCCACGAAAGAUUCAGAUUUUGCCUGAUCAUUGUCAAACGCUGUAGCAACUAUAAGUUUGUCAAAAUUUAUAAUUAUGGUUAUUGAUUGAUGGAAGUUUGAUGGUAGUGUUCCAGAUUUACUUGCUCAUGAUCUUUGUAUUGCUUUGCUGUGAAAAGAUGGAUACUUUAUUGGAAAAUGUGUUUAAUUUAAUGGAGAUUUGCUAGGUUUUUUAAUACAAUUAAUUGGAUAAUGGAUAUUGGAGAUUUUCUCCAAAGGAUUAUAAUUUAUAUAGAAUUUAAAAGUUUUAUUACUUUCUGGUUACUUUAUGUUUCGAAUUAGUUGGAUUUAGCAUUCUUCACAAGUUUUGAUAAGUGUUUAAUUUCUAAUUUUUGUUCCAUGCAUGUUUGAUUUUCUUUGAUAAUUGUGGAAUAUUAUUGGUGAUUAUGGUAUGCAUAGUUAGUUUUCCAUACUCUGUUUGAAUUUCUCUCUAUUUUGUUUACUCUUCCUCAUCUGCUAUGUUGUAUGUGAAAAUCUGAAAUGAUAGCAUUUGUUAAUCUACCUUAUUGUGAUUAUGGUAAGUCUGUGCAUAGUUAGUUUUCCUUACUCUGUUCGAAUUUCUCUCUAAUUUUCUUUACUCUUCCUUAUCUGCUGUGUUGUUUGUGAAAAUCUGAAAUGAUACCAUUUGUUAAUCUGUGUUUUGGGUUGUGAUUUCCAUAUUUUAUUUCCAAGUUUUGGCAACAUAGGUGGUUAUGUUCCCAGACAGUGUAUAUGGACCACACAUUCUUGCAAAAGUUUACCUGAUCAAUGGUUUAGAUUUAUAGUUUGGCAUAUGUGGUCAAACUAUCAUUCUGAACCAUUGAUAAGAUGGGUGUUUGCUUAACGUGACACGCCCCGAUCCCAAUAUUCCCCGAAUACCAGGAUAGGCACGUGCUGGCCGACACCCGAGGGUGACGAAAGCCAUUUAUUGAAUGCAAAUGCUGAAAACAAGGGAUGUAUAAGACUUAUAAAUAUAAAAGAAUAAUGAAUAUGCAUUUAAUGAACGCAAUUAGAGCAUACAACUAACUAGAACACUAAAAGAAAUAAUAUAAAAUUGAAUGAAACAAAGAAUGGAUCCUACACCGAAAAGACUCAAAGAUGCCGAUGCGGAAGUGCUUGGAUGCUGGGAUUGUACGCCUCGAUUCUAAGUCCUGAAGGGAGCGCAAAACAAACAUGAGUGGACCAAGUUGAUAUAUAUAUAUAUACUAAAACAGUUAUAAACGUACUAACCCCCAGGUUUUAUGAAAACACAUAUAUAUCAUGAUAAACAUAGGUUUUCCGAAACCUAGCAUGCCGUGCACUGUCUCAAAUCAUAACUUGUAUAUAUAACAAUCACUAGUGAAUGUCCAAUAACCCCCAGGCCCCAUGCCGGCUCCCUGUCUCUAAGUAAUGGUUUACUUGGUUAGAAGAAACUCUUUGAGGUUAUGUUAAAAUCUAUUUUGUGGAUGAAUCUAAUUAGUUAAAUUUGUUGGGUUUAAGUUAUGCAAAAAAUUUAAUAGCAAAGUUGAGUCUUUUUUUUCUGAGUUAUGUUAAUAAUUCUACCUAUUUUUUUUGUAAAUUCAUGGUUGGGUUUAACUUAUAUUAGAAAACAUGGAUCAUUCAAGUCUCAGUACAACUGGAUGUUUGUUUACUUGCAUAAAAAUUUUGUGCAUACAAGUUUGUUUCUGCUUCUCAGGUUCUUUGUCCUCGUGUUAAUUAAUUGUGUUUUUGUCUAUUCAUUUGGGUUGUCUCAGUGGAUUGAAGAUCUCAUUCAAGGUUCUUUCCCUAUUAUUUCAAGCUAGAUUAGCUGGUGAGUGAUAUGCUCUUUAUACUGUUGCGGUAUCAUUGGUGCUCACUUUGUACUACUGCUUUUGUAACGUUGGGAUGUUUCAAGAUUUAUGACUCUGUGCGCACUCUCUCUCUCUCUACCCUCUCUUUCUUCCCUCGCUCCCUCUCUGAUGUAAAGCCAUUUUAUGGUACAAUGUGUUUAUACAAUAGGGAUAGGAGAGAAAAAUUGUGAGUGAGGAUGUCACCCAUUCGUGCGGAUCUUCGAUUUCGUGGGUGGGAUUGUGACAGUGAGAGAAAGAAAAUAUGAUAAUGGGAGUAAACUAUACGCCUUACAAAUAUUAGUUUCGGUUCUCAUGUCCAAGUUUUCUUUCUACUUUCAAUUAAGUUUUGUUUGUAUGUUAUGUUUUCAUGGAAUCUCUUGCAUAGAUUUCAAUUACGUUGUACUUGAAUAUCCUGAACUCAAGUCAAUCAGGAUUUAUUUUUUGUUGAAACCAUUGAAUUUCAUUGUACUUGAAUAAUAUAGAUAUGGGGAAUACAUUUACAUAAGGAUUAAUUUAAACCAUUGAAUUUUAUUUCAUUUUUCCUUGGAGCUUGAGUAACAAGAUCUUCAAAUUGUUAUAUUCAUUGUCUGUGAGAAUAAAUCCAGAUGCAUAACAAUAUUGUUACACUUUUACUUUUAUUGGGUUUUUAUACCGUUUGUGUGUUUGCUUGGUCUUGCCUUGCAGUUCGAUGCACUUUGUGUAAUGAAUUGUGAUUUGUUUGAAAAUAUCUCUAGUGUGAUGAUUUUGAGUAUAAUGUGUUUUCUUAAUACUGUUUUUCUCCCUCUUUGUAGUCUAGUCAUGCAGAAGACAUCUCCAUUAACCGGUAACAGAUGAAAUCGUUUGCUGUUGAGGUUCCUGUGCAAGAGCGAAAAUGCUGCAAGUGGAGGAUAGAUAACAGCUCAAGACACAUGGUAUGACAGUGCAGGUAAACUGUACAUAUGCAUCUGGAAAAAGUAAAAAAGUUAAAGCGGGUUGGCUGUAGCUUUUCCUUCUCGCCACAACAGAAAUACUUUUGAACUACAUUAAGCUGUUAAUAAAUUAAGCUUAAGCUAUAUUUUACUUAUCAAGAAUGGGUAAACUGUUUUAAAUAGGAAAAUUAAGUGCUUAUAUUAGGUAAACUGUCAAUUUUACAAAGUUUUCUGGUAAAUUAGAUAUAUAGUUUAAUUCGAAGAGUUCGGUUGACAUUUACUUUUGUUAAAUUAUAUAGUUUAAUUGCGUCCCUUUUUUCCAAUCCCUAUAUAUCUGCUCAAAUCUUGGGUUAAUUAUUUGCCAGUAGGAAUGUUUAAUUGCUUGAUCAAUGAUGUCGAUUCAAUUUGAAGAAGAAAUAGGACUUUUGUUCAAUAGGGAUUGAGACUCUUUAACAUAUGAGUAAGAUGUCCCAAUUGUUCAUUGAUUCUUAGGUGCUACGUUUUUUUAGUUGUUUUAUGUGGAAACUAUUCAUGCAUGUUGCAACUAAUACAUUCAAGUCCUGCAACAACGCGCUGGCAUAUUUUCUCGUUGUCUAAAACGAAGUCGUUUUGAGCCACAGGUGAAAAUCAUCAUCUGAAGUGCCCCACUUUAAACCUCAAAUAAGCCGAGGGCGGCUAGUUGAUUUUCUGGUUAAGCUAGGACAGAUAUGUAAACCAAGAAAAUAGUUCACUGGUCUGUGAGAAGGCGGCACUUAAUAGUAGGCGACAAGCUGAUCAUUGCAGCCAUCUUGGAAGCGAUGAGUUAUUUGCUGAUGUCUCCACGACAUAAUCAUGUCAUAUGCUAAAUUUCAUACCAGAAUCUUCUUCACUUUGAAGUUUCCACGUAGAAGCUUUCCAAUGUGCAUCCAAUGACUGCAAUUUUCUUUCACCCUCAUAGCACAAAGUGGAAACGUCAACCAGAUUCGUAUAUGUUGAACUCUAAAUAUGCCAUAAGCUAAUGAAAAUAAUUAUGGAGACUUUGACAAGUUUUGGACAAGCUUAUAUUGGUCAGUUACGCUCUUUCCAUAGGCGACUUAAGCACGUUUCGCCGUUGGGCUGUCUCAUCCAAUGCCUCAACCAAUGUAGUCAGCUUAUAAGAUAACGUAUUUAUCAGCAUAGUCUUCGACUCCUUGGACAAUUGUGACAUGACAUGUUUUUUGUUAAUGAUAUGGUAUAGAUCAUAUGGUUCGGUUUGGACUAAAUAUUACACUAUCGGAUUGAGCAACAAGGCCAUUUUUUAAAAUAACAUUGCUUAAGUUAUGAUUAACUUCUUAGCAACGAGGUCAUUGAAUGAGAAGAGUUCUAGAUCAUUGAAUGUGAGAGCUUUUAAGAUGAUUUUGUAGUUAGGAUUGAGGGGUAAUAUUGUAAUUUUAUUAGGCAUGAUAAUUAUCUCUUAAUAGUGUAUCAAAUUAUCUUUAACAUUUUUGUACGCAAGAUAGAUAGGAUUAAGAUGCAAACUAUACCUCUAAUACAAAAGUAAGCAAGCAUUGCAGUUCAAAUUAGUUUGGGAUUUUUAGGGCUUAUUUGGUAUUCUAUUUAAAUCCAACUUUUUAAACUCAAAAACAGUUUCAAGUUUUAAGUGUUAAAAACUUGUUUGGUAUGAUUCUUUUAAAAAAUUGGAUUCAAAACUAACUUAAGAAUUAACCUAUUUCUUAAAAACACCAAAAGUGUGUUUUUAGAAUUUUUAACUUUAAAGAUCACUCUUUCUCUCUUCCCUUUUCUCUCACACCUAAUCCCUUAUCUUUUAUCCCUAUCAUUUCUCUCACUCCUCAUAUUUUUCUCUCCUUCAAUCCUCUCAUAUUUCUCUCUCUCUCUCUCUCUCUCUCUCUCUCUCUCUCUCUCUCUCCUCCGAUCCACUCUCCUAUUUCUUUCUCUUCCCUUUCUUUCCUUCUCUCCUUUUCCUCUCUACUCUCUCUCAUUUUUCUCUCUUUGAAUUUAGAAGUUCACACUAUAGGAUGAGUAUUUUUUAUUUAAAAACAAUUGCGAAUUUCAUACCAAACAAGUUUUUGAAUUUUAAAGAAAAUUGUUCUUAAGACAUGUUUUUAAGAAGUGUUUUGCAUAAUGAUGAAUUUUUUUUAAUAUAAUACCAAACAGGCCCUUAGCUUGCGGACAUGUAGAUUGUAGUAGCACCAUUGCGUGAAGUAAUUGGAUUGGAGUCCUGGUGGCGUGAUUGAAUUAUUUUAUGUUAAAAUUUAAUUUUCAUACAAUCUUAACCCCAUAAAUGAUUGAAUUUUCAAUCUCAUUAUAAACUAAUUUUUUAAAUUUUUUUUGACCUUUUCAAACCUAAUUUUUUAUACCCACACCCCCCCCCAUAACUUUCCAAGCCAGCAGCCCAAGUUUUCUACCUUUUGAAACCUAAUUUUUCACGUCUUUUCUCUUCUCCCCAGUAUCCUUCGUCAGUCCUCACCAACUGUUAUCGCCACCACUCUCUCCCUCCCUCUCCUCCAUUUUAUUUUCUAUGGAUCCUUCAUCAUCAUUUCCAGCGCAUCCAUUGAUCUCUCUCGCGUGUCGCACCUCCAUCCCCACACGACCAUGAUGCCACAACCAAAGAACAACCAGCUCACUACGACAUCUAAAGACGCCCUGGGAUUCUUGAGAUUGGUUCACUGGGGCACAAGGAGGUGAAGGGGAGGCAGGUAGAUAGGUCUGGGCUUGUUGAUUUGAGUGGCAGAGUUGGAGUUUUUAGGAAUUACAUGGGGUUAUAAUAGGUAGAAAAUUGUAUUACGGAUUCCUCCUUUGUCCCGAAAUUCAAAUGGCACCUUCUACUCAGGAGUUCCAUUCCUCCAAAAUCAAGAAUUCAAUACCUACCUUUCGAGUGCACUCACUCAUUUUGAUUCCUCCAAAUUUUAGUAAACACAAGAAUAAUUAGUAAUCAAAAUCGCACUCCGACUUUUGAUUCCAAUUACAGAUAUGUAAACAUGCCCUUAUAGUUGCAAUUGGAUUCUACAAGAGGAUCAAGCUAGGUCGAGCAUGUGUGUCCUUAUAAAGAACAAGACUUAGCUGUUGAAAGAUCCGCAGCAGCUGCUGAUAAAAAGCUCAAACACGUGUCCGCGUAUGAUAGGCCAUCAGCAGUAGCUGCUGCUGAUCUUUUCAGUAGCAAAGUUGUUUCCCCUUAGAAAUAAAAAGUUGCAGACAAUAUUGAAAAAAACAACCUUUAACGCAACAAACAAUCAAGGUUCUGAAAAACGUUAAGCGCUAGUCGGACAGCGGGUAGGGACCUAGCGGCUAGGCAGGCGCUUAUGCGGAUUUAUGUAAAUUUAAUAUAUAUAUAUAUAUAUAUAUAUAUUGUAAAUAAGUGCAUAUUUACACUUAAAAAAAACUAUACUUGUAUGGAUAAUAAAAAAAUGAUAAAAUGCAAAAAUAGAAGCAGAAGAAUACACAAAGUACAUCCAUCAAACAAGUUCAAUAUUUAAAAAACAGUAAACAUAUAAUCAUAAUGAGGAGUAUUCUUGGAUGAUAGACUAAAUUCUUUUUGUUCAUGAUCCUUGCAUUGGAUUGGACAUAGACUAAAUUAUUUAACGUUGUUUUAUCUAGUUUGUUUGUUUGUUUGUUUGUUUUUUUUUUUUUUGUAUGUAUCCCCUCAAAAGUUCUUCAAUUCAUUUCACAAUUGGAUGAACUUAUAGUCAAUCCAUCCUCUGCAAAUUAGGUACACCAUUUCUAUAAGUAUACCACCGUGAAACUAAAAAAAAACACACACACACAAUUAAAAAAAAAGGAAAACUAAUGAAAAGGGCUUGAAAACUUUGAGUUUUAAUCAAAUUGACAAAAAUGUGUUGUAAGUGAAUAGUAACAGGAGUGACUUUUUAGAGUAAAAAUGUCAUUUUCGUUAAAAGUGGGUUCUACCAAGAGUGUUUCUUUAAAACCCAAAAAAAAAAAAUCUGCCUAGGACCGCCUAGCUCCAAACCAAUUUUUUGAAACAAUUUGCUCUAAAUCGCGGCGGAUCUUCACCACCUAGCACCUAGGCGUCGGAUCUUCAAUGCUCUACGUGAAAUAUUUCUCACGCUCUUGUGAAAAGACUUCACUAAUCCCUUCGUCAGCUCAUAUUCACUAACCUCUUCAUCAGUUCAUCCCUUUUCUAUUGAUCAGUUUGGUGCACACCUUGAAAUUCACUACAAGAACAACUUGAAAUUCACUACCAAGAAAAACUGAAAAUACCACUAACAUUCGUUGCAAAGAUUGGGGUAGUGGCUCUGAUGGGUAGCUAAACGGCACAUCAAUAACUAUGUAUCCUCAAUCUUCUAACAUAGGAAUUUUUCUAAGAGCUCCUAAAUCUUGAGAGUGGAAAAAGUGCGGAGUAGGAUUGUGUCCCUUUUUUUUUCUUUCCUCCCCUUCCUCCCCUCGUGCCUUCCCUCCCCUCGUAUUUAAAUAGUCACAAUUCCGCAUCCUGCUACUUCUUUGCUUGCUUUUCUCGAUCAAGCAUUCUUGUGCUUAGCAAAGAGGUAGUAGCAUUUGGGGUGACAAUAAUGAAAUUUUUCGGGUAAGCCGACACAGCUCUUGCUUGCUGUCGGUAUGUGAUAGGGUUUGGUCAAUUGCCUGGCCACCUCUUUAAACUACGUCAACCUCUUAUAAAAUGGAAAGUGUGAGAGGAGUUACCAAUAUUUUAACAAUAUUAAAGAAAAAACUUUAUUCAUAUAGGUGCACAAGUUUUAUGACUCCUUAAACUAGAGAGUAUACUUGAAGUAUAUAUAUAUAUUUUUUUAAGAAAACCCAUCAAAUUUAACUAAAAAAUACAGAGUAUGAUUGAAUGCUACAAUUUAUAUUUAGCUUCCUUCUCACGGUUUUCCUCUUAAUUCAUUUUAACAACCUAAUAAAAUGACAGACAAAGAAAACAACAGCACAAAAAAAAAAAAAAAAAAAAAGGGCACCACAAAACGAAGAGAAAAUUGGAGCAAAGGUUCCUAAACUUUCAACCCAAUUGGAGCUUUAAUCUAUUAACUUAAAAUUUAUGAUCAUUGGUCUUUUAACUUGUCAAAAUGUAGAGCAAUGGUCAAUUUCAUCAACUUUGUUACAUAUUCCGUCCAGAUUAAGCAUGUGCGUAUCACAUGAUGCUGACUUAUGGGCAAAUAAGAAAAGAGCAGCGGGUUAUUUGAAGCCAAAAUCCAAUUUGCAUUUCACUGCUAUGAAAUGUCUUUUGUAAGGCAAACGCUUAUGAAAAGUCUACCUAUAUAUCUUUUCAAUUCUUCCAACUCAUAGUUAUCUAUAUAAGUGAGUUCAGAUCUCAUACCAUUUCAACAAAUAAAGAUGGAGAUCUCACACAUAAAACUCGUUCCCCUACUACUUUUCUUCCUUCUAAACUCAGUUUGUUCUACAACUUCAAACUCGAUUUCGGAAAGCUUUGUUCAAUGCUUUUCCUCCCGCAUACAUUCGAACUCAACAGGCAAAAUCAUCCUCACCGAAAGCUCUUCAGACUAUACCCUAGUGUUGCAAUCUUCCAUACAGAAUCUCCGAUUCUUGAACACAUCAACACCGAAACCACAAGCUAUCAUUACUCCUCAUCAAUACUCUCAUGUUCAAGCAGCUGUGGUAUGUGCCAAGAAAGUGGGCAUACAAAUAAGAACCCGAAGCGGAGGACAUGACUAUGAGGGCCUAUCUUAUGUGUCCAAAUCUCCUUUCAUCAUCAUUGAUCUUUUCAAUCUUCGAUCCAUUGAUAUUGACAUAAAGAAGGAGAGGGCUUGGGUUGAGUCAGGUGCUACUCUUGGAGAGUUGUACUAUGCAAUUGCACAAAAGAGUAAACUCUAUGGCUUUCCAGCAGGGACAUGUCCAACUAUUGGUGUGGGAGGACAUAUUAGUGGAGGUGGACAUGGUACCUUGUGCAGACAAUACGGUCUAGCUGCUGACAAUGUCCUUGAUGCUAAGAUUGUCGACGUUAGCGGAAGAAUUCUUGACAGAAAAUCUAUGGGAAAAGAUCUCUUUUGGGCAAUUCGAGGCGGCGGAGGCUCAAACUUUGGAGUCAUCCUGGCCUGGAAACUUAGGUUGGUUCCUGUUCCUCCAAUUGUAACAGGCUACAUGGAAUCGAAGACCAUUGAACAAGGUGCAACCAAACUUGUUUCCAAAUGGCAAGCUAUAGCUGAUAGGAUGCCUCAACAGUACUUCCUGCGUUUGGUUAUCCAAGUUGCAAAUGGAACUGGUACAAAUGGUGGAAAAACUAUUCAAGUUACGUUCAAUUUCGUGGCUUUUGAGACUGUUGAGAAACUUCUCCCUUGGAUGCAUGAAAAUUUCCCUGAGUUAAAUUUAGACCAGUCCACAUUCACUGAAAUGAGUUGGAUUGAGUCCGCUCUAUACGUUGCUAACAUCCCGAUAAACGAAUCACAAGUUCUGCUUCAGCGGACUCAACAAUCGAGGGUAUUCUUCAAAAACAAAUCAGAUUUUGUUACUGAACCUAUUUCAGAAGCUGCCUUAGAAGGUUUAUGGAAAACAAUGCUUGAAUUGGAUUCAUUACAGUUGAUACUGACACCUUACGGUGGAAGAAUGAGUGAGAUUUAUGAUUGGGAAAUUCCUUUCCCACAUAGAAAAGGAAAUUUGUUUGAGAUCCAGUAUGUCGACAAUUGGGUUGAUGACGAAGAAACUGAGGAACGUAUUAGCGGGGUGAGAAGUGUGUAUGAGUACAUGACACCAUAUGUUUCAAAGUCCCCAAGAGCCGCCUAUUUGAAUUAUAGGGAUCUUGAUUUGGGGAGGAACAAGGAUGCUAAUACAAGCUAUGCACAAGCAAGCGCUUGGGGAUUGAAGUAUUUCAAGAAUAACUUUGGGAGACUUGUUCAAAUAAAGACUUCAGUCGAUCCUGAUAAUUUCUUUAGAGAUGAACAAAGCCUCCCGGUGUUACAGUCUGCGAAGAAAUAGAAUGUCAACUUGAUGGACUUAUAUGCAACAGAAUAAAUUAUAAAUCCUCAGUUAGUCAUUGUAUUAUACCGCAAUAAUAAGUUGCAUUUUACAAAUUAAUAAUAUGAUAUUACUUGUUAUAACUGUUGCAUGUUUGUUGUAGUUUAUGGCUUUAGAAAGAAUCAAAUUAGUUGGCCAAGUAGGAUGAAAGUAAGGUUUUAAUUAGCAAUGGGAAUGAAGGAUGCUUGUUUUACUGAAACUGACGAAAUAAUAAUUAAGAGAAAUAUUAGACAUUUCUUCAUCAAUUACUGCAAUGUACUUAUCGUUACAUGCAUAUAAACAUGGACGUCGUAACCCCGUCUCUAAUUUUUCGAGUAAAAUAUUUCAUAUUAAUGUGGAAAACACCCAUAAAAGAUAAAUUUCAUUUUUGUUGAACCUUUGAGCAUGAGACAUGUGCUCAACAUCUUAUUUUAUUUGAAAAGUACUCGUUGGUAAGAACAUUUGAGCGCAAAGGGAUUGGAAUUUGGAAUUCAAAGGAGAAAUUUCUAAACAAUAGGCAAUUUGGUAAUUUUAGAAGGAAUUUUCUGGAAGCCAACAGCUUCCUCUUCUUCCUCCGUGCGGGCAGUUAGGUUGGGUUUGGGGGAGGGGGGAAGUCGCCGACCAAGCCUUCACCUCCAUCAUCACGUCCCAAAAAGGGGUCUCGAUUUUCUUACGGUCUUGCCCGUAACUCAGGCCGUUUCCUCAAUAAUUCCACUCCAGCUCCCCAAAACUUCGAAAUCCAAGAGAAUGCCGUUCUAGGAAAUGCUUCAACGUCACUAUCUAUGGAAUCUAUGUGGACCCGUAGCAUUUCGAGCUGGGAGACGACGGAAUUGCCGUUAUUGCUUCUGGAGUCACCUGCAAUCUGAGUAUGAAUUGGCACCAUUCUUACAUUACUUGGAUUGCUCCUGUUGUUGUUUCGGAGGAAGGUCGUGCUUCGGUUCAGGUGUGGAUUAAUUUUGCUUUGUUACCCUUCUUUUCUGGUUUAAUUUUCUACAAACUGAUAGGUGAAGUUUGUAUGGAUUUUUAUACUUGCAAUUGGGUUUUAGCUAAUAAGGAUGAUUAAAUAGAAAUUAAGUUUCUUUAUUGUACUUUAUGCAUGAAUGGAGUUGGUUGGACAUAAGAAGUAGGAACACAAUUGCCUGGUAUGAUGAUGCUGUUGGGGAAGAAACUGAUGGCUAUAUGUUUGAUGGUGGGAAGAUUUGGUGGUGAAGCUUUAUAAGAAAUUACGAAUUGUGAAUCAAAAGUUAAGGUUCUUUGCGUGUAGGAGUUGUAUAGAAAAAUGAAGAAAUUCUAAUCAGAUUUUGUCUGGGUUCAAGUAUUUGAAGAAAGUGGGUUUUCUUAAGAGAAGAGUAAACGUGAUCUUGGUUUGGAUAUAUUAUUGUUGAAUCAAAUGUCUAUUACGGCAUAAUGUGUUGAAUUGUAAUCUUAAUUAUCUUGGCCCAAAGAUAAUGGAUCCAGCCCAUGCACAAAGAAAGAUCUAUGAACAUGCUAAAGAAUUCUAGCAAAGUUCAAGUUGGUAGAAGAGUCUAGAAGAAUGGUGAGGAUUCCACCAACAUACAAGAUUAGUGUAGAUAAUUCUAACUUAGGAAGAUAGUGGAAUUAUCUAGAUAUCUUUAGCAUGGUGCUUCCAUACUUCUCCAAGGUUCCAUCCAUGCCUACAAAAGGAGAAGGCAUCCAUACCAUUUGUAACAACCAAGAGAGCAAGCAGUGAGAAGUGAGAGUGCCAAGUGAGAAGUGAGAAGAAGCAACAAAGCUUCUAAGAGUGUUUGAGUGUUUGAGUGUUUCCUCUUAUACUAAGUUUGUGGGUGAAUAAAAAUCUUGUGUAAUACUUUGAGUAUUCUUUCUUUCUUUCUUUUGCCUAUCAAUUCUGCUGCAUUACAUUCCUCUUUGUGAGAUAAACAUCUCCAAAGUAGUGAAGUCUUUUUAAGCCCCAACAUAAUCGACCUAAGAAAUAAAAAUGAGAAUUGAAUAAGAAAUUUUGAAAGUCAUUGCAAACACAAGAUUUCUAUUUUGAGUUUAACAAAAUGGUGAUAAAUAAUUGGUUCGAUCUCUUCGGAUGGUACGUAGGCAAUCCAACUUGAAAGUUAGAUGCAGCCAUAAGGUUAAAUAAAAUUAAAUGGUGUAUCAUGUCUCUGAGUUUGGAAUAUGAUAUUUUUAUGAUCAAUUCUUAGUACAGACUUUAACAGAUUUAUAAAUUAUAAUUUAUAAUUUAUGACUUAUGAUUUACUACGAUGACGAUUUAUAAAUGUUGGAUUCAUUACUACUUAACUUUUUCUUCAACAUAUAUGAUGAAUCCAAUCCAGUCCAAGGUGUAUACCUUGAAUCUUAUGAAUAUAUGAUGAAUCCAAUCCAGUCCAAGGUGUAUUCCUUGAAUCUUAUGAGUACUUUAAUCCAAUCUCGGAAGAACAAAACAAGCCUCAUUAUGUCGCCUCCCACAUACAUUCUAAAAAUAGUUCAGAUUUUUCAUGCUAGGCAACUUCCGGGAACUAAGUUUAAAACGCAGCAGUUGCUACGAGAUGAGCUAAAUUAAACGUGUCCUUGACUUGACUUGCAUCUCAGAAGCUUCUUUGAAAUAAAUGAAAAUUACUUCUACGAAUAUACUUCUUUAAAAUAAAUGCAUUGAUGACCCAAAUGUAUAAAAUUAUUGUUUCACAACUAUUCCCCGAUCAAAAUGCUCAUAUCCAUCCAUAAUCAGCAAAUACUAAAAAAUAGAACUGGAUCAUGAUUCGCAUUGAAAAAUUAUUAAUUUAAAUUACAUGUGUCAGAUCGUACAGAUUAUAAUAUUUUUAUUUGUAAAGAAUAUUAAAUUAUUUGCAUCUCCGAUUUCAACAUAAUUGUGUAUGAGAAGUCUCUGUUGGUGGGCAAACGUUUAGGAGAAGUCUCCUAUUUCUUUUCAAGGAAGCUUUUAAGAUAAAGGAUUUCUAUUUUUUUAUAAAAAUUGAAAUUAGUUGUUGAAUUCACAUCACAUCAAAUUUUAAUAGUGUGAAUCGUUUAUUUUUCAAGUUGUACCUCAUAGAUCAUCUUUGCAAAAUAUUAGCCAAAUUAAAAAUAUUUAAGACAUCUAAUUGGGUUCAUAGAAAUGAACGAAUAUUUUGUUAUAUAAGAAACAAUGAUAUUUGAUCUUGAUAAUUAAAUAAACAAAUGAUUUCAAAUUGAAUUAAAGUUUUGCAAGGAUGAUCUAUGAAUCGAGAUUUACAAAAUAGACAGUUCAGAUCGUUGAAAAUCAAUGUGGAGUGGGCUCCACAUGGAUCACACCUAAUCCCUAUUUUUUGAAAAAAAAUAGGAACCACGUUGCAUAAAGGGCAUGAUCUUUUCAAUUCUUCCAACUCAUGUACCUACAUAAGUGAGCUCAGAGAUCAUACAAUUUCAUAUAUUUAGAACAAAUAAAGAUGGAGAUCUCACACAUAAAACUACUUCCCCUACUACUUCUCAUCCUUCUAAGCUCGGUUUGCUCCACAACUUCUAACUCGAUUUCGGAAAGCUUUGUUCAAUGCUUUUCCUCCAUCAUACACUCUAACUCAACGAGCAGCAUCAUUCUCACCGAAAACAGUUCGGUUUAUUCCUCAGUCUUGCAAUCUUCCAUACAAAAUCUCAGAUUCUUGAACACAACACCGAAACCAAAAGCUAUCAUUACCCCUUCUCAAUACUCUCAUGUUCAAGCAGCUAUAGUAUGCUCCAAGAAAGAGGGCAUAGAAAUAAGAACACGAAGCGGGGGCCAUGACUAUGAGGGCCUAUCUUAUGUAUCCGAAUCUCCUUUCAUCAUCAUUGAUCUUUUCAAUCUUCGAUCCAUUGAUAUUGACAUAAAGAAGGAGAGGGCUUGGGUUGAGUCAGGUGCUACUCUCGGAGAGUUGUACUACGCAAUUGCACAAAAGAGCAAACUCUAUGGCUUUCCAGCAGGUAUCUGUCCAACUAUUGGUGUGGGAGGACACAUUAGUGGAGGUGGACAUGGUCCCUUGUUCAGGAAAUAUGGUCUAGCAGCUGACAAUGUCCUUGAUGCUAAGAUUGUCGACGUUAAUGGCAGAGUUCUUGACAGAAAAUCCAUGGGAGAAGAGCUCUUUUGGGCUAUUCGAGGAGGCGGAGGCUCAAGCUUUGGAGUCAUUGUGGCUUGGAAACUCAGGUUGGUUCCUGUUCCUCCAACUGUAACAGGUUACACGGUAUCGAAGACCAUAGAACAAGGUACAACCAAACUUGUAUCUAAAUGGCAAGCUAUAGCUGACAGGAUGCCUGAAGAGUAUUUCCUGCGUUUGGUUAUCCAAGUUGCAAAUGGAGCUGGUAAAAAUGGUGGAAAAACUAUACAAGUUUUAUUCAAUUUCUUGUUUUUCGAGAGUGUUGAGAAACUUCUUCCUUGGAUGCAAGAAAAUUUCCCGGAGUUAGAUUUAGAGCGGAAGAAUUUCAUUGAGAUGAGUUGGAUUUCAUCAGUUCUAUACAUUGCUAACAUUCCAAGAAACGAAACAGAAGUUCUGCUUCAGAGGACUCAACAAUCUAAGAGAUUCUUCAAAGCCAAAUCAGAUUAUGUUACAAAACCUAUUUCAGGGGCUGCCUUGGAAGGUUUAUGGAAAACAAUGCUUGAAUUGGAUUCAUUCCAGUUGAUAUUGACACCUUUCGGUGGAAGAAUGAGUGAG